AUGUUCAGAGAGCUGAUCGAGGCAAACUCGGCUCUCGUCGGAGGGUUUCAUAUGGAGGACUACUUCCCAAGGUUGGCCAAGGUACGUCUUCUCAGUAGGUUCGUCCGCAACAACGCCGAGACGGCACACAAGAGGUGGGACGAACUGCUAGAAGCGAUAAUAAGAGACCACGAGAAAAACCCAACGCACCAUGGCAGGGAGAACGGUGUCGACGAGCAAGGAGAGAGUGACUUCAUCGACGUGCUGCUAUCGGUUCAGCAAGAGUUUCAUGGCAUCACCAGAGACCAUAUCAAGGCCAUCUUAAUGGACCUGUUCGGAGCGGGCACGGACACGUCGUCUCUGGUCCUAGAAUUCGCCAUGGCCGAGCUCAUGCGCACACCUGAUCAACUCAUGGCCAAGCUUCAGGCUGAGGUGCGACACGGCACUCCCGCCGGACAAGAAUUUGUCGAGGAGCAUAACCUGGCCGGCAUGGGCUAUCUGAAGGCCGUGGUGAAGGAGACGCUCAGGCUGCAUCCGCCGGCGCCGCUCCUCCUCCCACACCUGGCGAUGGCGGACUGCGACGUCGACGGCUACAGCAUACCCUCUGAGACUCGAGUCAUCGUCAACGCAUGGGCUAUUGGCAGAGACCCCGGGUCCUGGGAGAAGCCGGACGACUUCGUGCCAGAGAGGUUCCUCGAGGGUGGCACCGCGGCAGCGGUGGACUUGACGGGCAAGGACUUUCAGUUUGUGCCAUUCGGGGCUGGCCGGAGAAUCUGCCCCGGUCUUAACUUCGGGUUGGCUACUGUCGAGAUCAUGCUGGCGAACCUCGCGUACUGCUUCGACUGGGAGCUGCCGAUCGGCAUGGAGAGGGACGAUGUCGAUAUGACGGAGGUGUUUGGUCUGACUGUCCGUAGGAAGGAGAAGCUCAUGCUUGUCCCCAACACCCACGUGCUUGCUUGA
rnacentral:rRNA from 1 species